AUGCACGAGUAUCGCCACACCGAUGAUCUUGGCCAAGACUCGCCGUACUUUAAGGGUGGUUUUGCUUUGUGCCGAGUUAUUAAAAAGAAUGAAACAAGAAAGAGGAUUGCAACUAGUUCGGGUGAUGUUUCUUCUCAAGCAAGUCACCUGAAUAAUGAGAUUGGAUAUUCAAGCCUUGUUGCUUCUACCCAAAAUGUGGCUCCAAUUGUUGAGCUUAACCAUGUUUCAGUACAUACCAAUAUCCCCCUCCUCUGCAGUUAG